GGGCGUUAAGUUGCAGGGUAUAGACCCGAAACCCGGUGAUCUAGCCAUGGGCAGGUUGAAGGUUGGGUAACACUAACUGGAGGACCGAACCGACUAAUGUUGAAAAAUUAGCGGAUGACCUGUGGCUGGGGGUGAAAGGCCAAUCAAACCGGGAGAUAGCUGGUUCUCCCCGAAAGCUAUUUAGGUAGCGCCUCGUGAAUUCAUCUCCGGGGGUAGAGCACUGUUUCGGCUAGGGGGCCAUCCCGGCUUACCAACCCGAUGCAAACUGCGAAUACCGGAGAAUGUUAUCACGGGAGACACACGGCGGGUGCUAACGUCCGUCGUGAAGAGGGAAACAACCCAGACCGCCAGCUAAGGUCCCAAAGUCAUGGUUAAGUGGGAAACGAUGUGGGAAGGCCCAGACAGCCAGGAUGUUGGCUUAGAAGCAGCCAUCAUUUAAAGAAAGCGUAAUAGCUCACUGGUCGAGUCGGCCUGCGCGGAAGAUGUAACGGGGCUAAACCAUGCACCGAAGCUGCGGCAGCGACGCUUAUGCGUUGUUGGGUAGGGGAGCGUUCUGUAAGCCUGUGAAGGUGGCCUGUGAGGGUUGCUGGAGGUAUCAGAAGUGCGAAUGCUGACAUAAGUAACGAUAAAGCGGGUGAAAAGCCCGCUCGCCGGAAGACCAAGGGUUCCUGUCCAACGUUAAUCGGGGCAGGGUGAGUCGACCCCUAAGGCGAGGCCGAAAGGCGUAGUCGAUGGGAAACAGGUUAAUAUUCCUGUACUUGGUGUUACUGCGAAGGGGGGACGGAGAAGGCUAUGUUGGCCGGGCGACGGUUGUCCCGGUUUAAGCGUGUAGGUGUGUGUUCCAGGUAAAUCCGGUUCACUUUAACACUGAGGCGUGAUGACGAGGCACUACGGUGCUGAAGCAACAAAUGCCCUGCUUCCAGGAAAAGCCUCUAAGCAUCAGGUAACAUCAAAUCGUACCCCAAACCGACACAGGUGGUCAGGUAGAGAAUACCAAGGCGCUUGA
rnacentral:rRNA from 1 species